GGUCAUGAGCGCCAGCAUCAAGCCCCGGCUUGCUGGCCGGCAACCCUCCAACCGCGGUGGGGUGCUCCGGGUGAAGACCAGGUUGAGCAGUCGAUAGCGGCUGCCGGCAAGCGCGGGUC
rnacentral:ncRNA from 2 species